AGAGCGAACGCUGGCGGCAGGCCUAAUACAUGCAAGUCGAACGCACCUUCGGGUGAGUGGCGGACGGGUGAGUAACACGUGGGAACGUGCCUUUUGGUUCGGAAUAAUCCGGGGAAACCUGGCCUAAUACCGGAUGUGCCCUUCGGGGGAAAGAUUUAUCGCCAUUAGAGCGGCCCGCGUCUGAUUAGCUAGUUGGUGAGGUAACGGCCCACCAAGGCGACGAUCAGUAGCUGGUCUGAGAGGAUGAUCAGCCACACUGGGACUGAGACACGGCCCAGACUCCUACGGGAGGCAGCAGUAGGGAAUCUUGCGCAAUGGGCGAAAGCCUGACGCAGCCAUGCCGCGUGAAUGACGAAGGUCUUAGGAUUGUAAAAUUCUUUCAGCGGGAAGAUAAUGACUGUACCCGCAGAAGAAGCUCCGGCUAACUUCGCGCCAGCAGCCGC
rnacentral:rRNA from 1 species